UUUUUCCUCCCUCAGGCUUACAGUAUAAACUCUUGUAAAAAGUCAAAUCCCAGUUUUUAGCAACGAAGUAGCGAGAACGAGGAUUAAAAUGUCUCAAAAUGUAUAAUCUGAGGAUCCGCCACCACCCACUUCAGAAUGAAUGCUCUCAGUAAACGCAAGUCUCUACAGUGGUUCUGAAGCAUGUAAGGAAGAAUUUGGAUGUCUAUCAGUUUUAGCAUAGCCUGUGAUGAUCCAACUAGCUUGAGAGCUCUUGGCCACGUAACUUCCCUUAUGGAAGGGAGAAGACUUCCCUUUGGAUAGUGAGCUAAACCCUAACGUUAGAGAGAGAACCACCACAGCGCUGCUCUCUCCUUGGUGGCGACUGCGUGUUAGUUGCCGUGUGCUCCCACACCCCUUCUAACUAAACACAACUUCAGGGAUGGGAUUUCUUUCUUUGUGUGACUUGAAAAAAUGAAAUCUCUUGCUGGCCUUUGGGCACUGUGAAAAAUAUAGUUGAGUUUGGGGAAGGAAUGUGCUAGCAAAACAGUCCCAAAUUUUAUGUGGGUCUUAGAUCUGGUGUUGGACUCAUUAGGUCCUGGCAGAGGCUCAGACAUAGGCCCUUUCUUCUUAUCUGCACACUGAGAAUGGAUUGAUAAGGAUUCCUACCUAAUUUAGCUUGUACAAUGCUCCUCACUUCCAAGACUGCGACCUUGGAUAACUGACCUGAUUGUUCCUUUCCAAAAUUGUUCCGCUUUGGCUGAUAGAUUUCAACACUGCUAGUAUGCAUCUGUUGGUGUCCCAAUGGCUGGACCUAGUACCAGACAGAAGUGAAGAUUAUGCAGAUGCGGAAAAGCAAA